ensembl:lncRNA
CGGGCCGAACAGGUGGCCCUGGAGGAUGCGCCCAGGGUGGAGCGGGAGGCGAGAGGGAGGAGCGGGGGGCGGGAGAAAGGAGCGGCCGAGGCCCGGCCUCCCCCAGGGGCCCAGGAGCCCCAAGGCCGGCCCGGCGGGGACCUCGUGUCCGGCUGGUGGCCCGGGGACGUCGCUUCAGUACCUGCGCCUUCCGAGCCCCGCCCUGCCUCGGAUGAGUCGCGGCCCGGGCCCUCAGGAUUGCGGCCCGCCGGACCUGGCCGAGGAAGGGCUCGCCCCUUCGUCCCAGAGCAGCCUGUGCCGGCGAGGUCCUUCCCUGAAGCCCACCUCCCUGAGCCAGCGGAGUGCUGCCCGAGGCUGCCCGGGCCCCAGGGUGCGCGAUUUGUGACUCGCUCCGGAGACCUCCCCGCCCCCUCGAUCGCCCCCUUUUCUCAAGCCUUAUUUGUUUCCUUUCCGUGCCCUGCGUCUCUAUCUCGCUCUUUGUCCCUCUCUUUCCUCCUGGAGCGGCCUCACAAAAGGCGCCUGGCGAGACUUAACUCGGUUUGUUUUGCGCCAGGCCUGGGAGAGAGCGGGGCGAAGGCCAGGGGUGUGGACCCGAGGGGCUCUGGGACUGACGGGAGCUUCAGCGCCCAAAUUAGCCAGCCAAUAGUCAAAUCCACCGCUUUUCAAUUUUUAAUGAUUCAAACGCGAUUUUCCUCCCCCAGCAUGAGGAAGAGAAGCAUGACACGUUGGUAUCAUAAUGGGCUUGCUGCGUAAAGAUAGCAGCAUAAUACAUCUUGCCGGUGAUUCCAUGAAGGACUCCAGACUUCCGACUAUGGAACGCAAUUUUCUAUUUUAUAUCUUUAGGAGAAAAGGCUCAAAGAAUGAAAGAAGAAAACUUCACAAAUAAUAAGAAGGUGUGAAUGGGCUUCAGAGUGAGAGGCAACAGUAACUUUGCUGCUUGAGGACCCUCUCACCUCUGGAAAGUGUUGAGCUCUGAACGGUGUCAUGUGUCUCAGUAGCUUAGUCCUCCCUCAAAUAUUCAGAGUUUUUAAGGUGGUGGAGAUGGAAUCCAGGGCCUCACACAUGCUGGCCUGAAACAAAGGAUUCCCCUGCCUUACCCUGCAGAGUCCAGUGGGAUUCCUGGCCUGCACCACUGUGCCUGGCUCACAUAUUCAAACUGCUGAUUGCAGGUAUCAUGCUGAUUCUUGAAACCAUUGUAAACCCUGCCCUAACCGUGCCUAAAUGUAUGGACCUGACUUGGAGUUUAGAAAUACCACAAACAGCUAGCUCCAAGUCAUUAUUGCAUUCAUAAAGACCAGCACUAGGAUUCUUACCUCAGUGCACUGGCUCUUAACCACCACGCCCGCCGUGUGUCUGCCUCUUCACUGGUGUUUAGGAGCUCAGAGGUGCAGAUCGAGUCACUCAGCUUUCCUAAGCCUCAGCUUCCAAUUUUUAUCAGUGAGCAUAGUGCCGUGGGAAUUAAAGGACAUAGCUAGCUUCUUAGGUCAUCUGUAAUCAUGCCUAGGUCAGGGAUGCUACGGGACACCAGGUACUGUAAAACAUACCGCCUUGCAAGGCAAAAGGCUUCUCUGAUCUGUAGAUGAGUUGAAACCCACUUAGAGCAGGUCAUUGUAGAUAAGGCUGAAUAAUACUUGACCUGUGAGGACAGCUGAUUGGUAAGUAGCAUACAUUAGUGGGUCUUCUGAUGCCCAUAUGUUCUAAGGUGGUAACACCAGUUUCCCUAUUUUACAAUUUGUCUACUUGUGUAUGCUUUGAAAAGCCCAUGAUACAUUAAUACACCAGUGAUCAGCAAAAGACAAGCACCAGGCCCUUUGCUUCCAAGGAACCCGGAGCCUGGACUGGAACCCAGAGACCUGGGCAGAGUUUGAAUUGACAGCCCGGACUCCUGAUGAGCAGUAAUCCCCCUGCUUCUGUUUCCCCGUGGCCUCCAUGCCGUGCUUUGGAAGGAGGAGAAGUCAAGCCAGAGAGACGCGACAGUGGAGAGCAAACCCUGGUGCAUUCAUGUCUCUGCCUGGCCCCUCUUCCUGUCAUUUACUUGUCUCUCAAGGCGUUUUUGUCUGUCUCCCUGCUAGAAUCUAAGUUCCAGGAGGCCAGGGAUGUUUGAUUGUCCUGUGCCUCGCUGUGUUCCCAAACCCCGGGCAGUGACUGGCACACACCUAUCGCUCAACAAAUGCUCAAAGGGGAAAAAAUGUGGGGAUAAUUGAUUUAGAAAAACGUGGGUAAUAAAGAAAAUGUUGUUGGAGAACAAGCCAUUUCAAGUCUUGAUUUACACAGGUAAAUUUAACUGGAAAAAGUUACUAAAAUAUUUCAUAGGGUUUUUCCCCAAAUUAUUAUUUUUUAUUGAUAUAUAUAGUCCAUCUACCAUUAAAAUUAACCCAUUUAAAGCAUAUGUUCCUAUGGUUUUUGGUAUUAUAGAAAGAUUUUCACUAUCUUUUUCAAAGUAUCAACUAUUACAUAUAUAAACUCAGUAUCUGAUGAGACAUGAGAACUGGCCACACAGACAUGUGAAAAAUAUCAGUUCCACCAAACGUCAUUAUUAGACAGUCUUUAGUGACUCUGACACUGAAGUCGUGAAUUGCUAAUAACUAGGGUUUUUCCGUAUGGAAAUCCACAUAAUCCUCUUUAAGUAAUUAAUCACUGUCAAUGCUUAUACUUAAACUUGUAUGAAAAAAUGAUACUCAGAUUGGUUCUGUAUGAUAAAUGCAUAUGAAAACAAUAAAAUUCUAAUUCCGAUUGGCACAUGUACCUAUUUCUUUAUUUGUAUCAUUUACGUGUAUAUGUGGAAUCUGUUUUAUGUUGUCAUCUUUUCCUUGCAUGAAGGGAUGAGUGUUUAUGAUACUGAAGUAUGUGAGGCUGUAAAUGGCAUUUACAUUCAAUAACUACAUCGAUGCUGCUUCUGCAUUUAAUCGCUGGCUGGAGAUAUUUAUUGCUUGGUGUACUAUUCUCCCAUAAACAGCACUACCUCAAUAGGACACUCUCUUACUACUGAUUAUUUUCCCCUUUCCGUGGAAAUGAAAAAAAAAAAAACAACCAUUUUAUAAAAAUAAAACAUUCCCA